GACGAACGCUGGCGGCGUGCUUAACACAUGCAAGUCGAGCGGUAAGGCCCUUUCGGGGGUACACGAGCGGCGAACGGGUGAGUAACACGUGGGUGACCUGCCCUCAGCUCUGGGAUAAGCCGUAGGGAAACCGGGUCUAAUACUGGAUAUGACUCCAUGACGCAUGUUGUGGGGUGGAAAGCCUUGUGCGGCUGAGGAUGGGCCCGCGGCCUAUCAGCUUGUUGGUGGGGUGANGGCCUACCAAGGCGACGACGGGUAGCCGGCCUGAGAGGGCGACCGGCCACACUGGGACUGAGACACGGCCCAGACUCCUAC
rnacentral:rRNA from 1 species